UAGAAGAGGAUCUCUAUAGUGAAGAGAAUGAAAUUUGCCUCUUGAAAAUACUGGUAGAGCCAAAGGCAAUUACAGGAGUUGGAAGGCCUGCAUAAGAAACAGGGAAAAUCUGAAGAGAAAAGAUGAUCUUAUAGUUAAAGCAGCUCAACAUAAGUGAUUGACCUUUGUAUGCUGUAUGGGUGAGAGUGUGUUUGUGGAAAAGGAAAACAUCAGCUGGCGACUGGCUGAAGAUUGCAGACAGAUAAAAGACCAGACAAGAACAAUCUGCCUCAGAACAGGGAGAGAACAAGGACAAUCAACUUUCAAGGAAGAACAGUGAUAAGCCAGCAAGAGCCCAGAGACUGGGUGAGUUGACAAGGCUAUAAAAG